UGAAUGCUUAUAGUAACAAAGACAAAUUACCGUCGUAAGAUUUCUUAAAUUAGAUUUUACUUGGUAAAGAUUUUGUACUUCUGCAGGUUGGUAUUCUGAUAUCCAACAGCUGUUAAAAAAAGAAAACCCAAACCCGCGAGAUAUUAAGAAAAGGUGUAUAUUUGAACAAAUAUUUAUUCAACCAACACUACUUAAGUCAGUGAGAACAUCAACCUUGUGUUAACUGUAAUCACAUAACUUUGCUUUGAGCCCACAGGCACAGCAGGGUCUCCAGUCGGGUUGCCGGGAUGUUAAGAAAUGGCUCUAAAGUGCUGAAGUCACAGCUGUGUGAGCUAGUAAAGGUAGGUGGUGAAGUGAGCUAGUAAAGGUAGGUGGUGAAGUGAGCUAGUAGAGGUAUGUGGUGAAGUGAGCUAGUAGAGGUGGGUGCUGAAGUGAGCAAGCUAGCCUGUAUCAAUAGAAGCAAGUCGUCCUUCGCAGCGUCACUUCGCAGUUCCAGAUGUUGCCGGUGGUUUCUCAUCUGCAAUCACGCCGUUAGUUUCACGUGUGCGCUGUUCCGUCACACGCUGAGCUUCAGGUCGGCAAACUAAAGUUAACGAACACGUCCGCUCUGCUCAAUCACCUAAAAACGAUAAAACGGAGGCGGAGGCCGGACUUACUUUAACGUCUAUGAAAAGGGUCCACGCGCCCACAGGUGUUAGAAAGACUUGUUAGCUUCAGGCUAGCUCCUCCUGUUCACCGCCGUCCAGACAGCGUUAGCUUAGCAACAACUACCAACAACGCCAACUGCCACCGGCGGUGUCAAAGACCCCCCCAACAAUAAAACACGGAGCCGGUAUCCG
ensembl:lncRNA